GACGUCAUCGCGCCGACGCGGGCGUCCGCUAGGCCCCGCCUGCUCUAUUUAAAAGGCUGGGCGCAAAGCGGCGCGCACUGGGCCGCUGGACCCGGGCGUCCCCGAGUGCGGCCUUUGAGACAGCUGACCCCGAAACACCCUAAUGCGUAAGCAGAGCGCGACCCCGGGACGCCCUGAAUUCCUUACGGCCACUAGCCCUGAGUGAGGCGAAGGUGAGGUGAACAUCAGGACACAGACGGAGAAACGCUCGUUCCUUCAUCCUUCCGCGGCCCCCUCGCUCUGUGGUCCAGUGCCAGCUUCCCGCGACAGCUUCCUCCAGGCAGCCGGUGACAAAGGAACACUCGCAGGCCUCCUACCAGGUGUCCUGAAGCAGAAGCUGCAUUUUACCAGAAUCCCCAGCGAUGGCCACGCCGAGCAAAGCGGGAAGCCUUGGGCCAACUCCAGGGCUGACCCGGUUUAAAGCGAUGGGCUGACACGGAAAGCUGAAGGACAGACAAGUCCACGCAGCCGGAAUCUGUGGUGGCAGAGCUGCGAUGGCCUGCGUGUGGGCACUGUCCGUGGAGAGUAGUGAGAAGACGCACAGAAAUGUGUCCCCGGCAGCCUGGACCAACACCACGUUCCGGGGUCCUCUGCUGGAAGGAAAGACAGUCACCUGUCAUCACCACACGCUCUGGAGCGCUUCGGCCACGCGAGACUCACUUGAACAGGAGAGAGUGGGCUGCCAAGCAUGUGGAACGUGCCCUGAAUAUUCAGGGAUCUGUAAAUUCACAGAUUGUUUCCCCCGGAAGGCCAUUUAAGAGAUCGUCUCCGAACUCACCCUUUUUCAGGUAUUCUGGCAUCAGUAGAGUUCCCCUCCCCCGAUCUUUGGAAAGUCUCGCCUUCUGGGCACCGCCUCUGCUCACCCAACAAUGCUGUUUGUGUCUUCACCGCCGUCGAACAGCCUGGCACACACUCAGCCUUGCCUAGUCAUCCGGGAGCAGUUGUACACGUGCCAGAUGGAAGCCAAGGGGAGGAGAAGACUUGCAAGCUUCACAUGAUGCCAGAUUUUCAAGACUAAUAAUCUCCUUCGCAGCAGGUGGAAGCUGCCGGACUUCGUAUAUUCAGGUUUUGCAUUUUGCUUGCAGUUGGGCUCCUUAUCCAGGACAACUAAGAAAGCCCGCGGCUUCCUGCAUCUACAGUCAUUUCAUGACCAGCGUGGGUCAGCACGGGACAGUUUUCAGGUGCCGACUGACAACAUUCAGUCGUGUGUCCCCCACACACACGUGUCUGGGAGCUGCAGUUACGGCUGUAAAACAUCUUAUAAACCAGCUCAGGAGAUGGUCAGAAAAGUGUCUUCCCUAUGUUGAUGUACUGCCCCGUCUCCCAAAGUCGUGGGUAAAAAAUGACUGACGCCAGGACACAGCCCAUGGGGACAGCCCAAGAACUUUCUGGAUACCAUUCCAUUACCUUCGGGCUGUUUUCACGGGGUAAGAAUGUGUGUCUUAAUUCCCAGAAAGAGACCAAAGCUACACAGCAGUUACCAGAUUGACCCAAAUUGACUCAAAAUUGGAAUCUGCGUCAGAUGAGCUGACUCCAACCCCAGUUCACAUCAGCGAGAUAGAUGUCCAGCAGUCACCUGGGAGUUUGUCCUCCGGUAUUUUUGUUGGGAAGGGGUAGCGAUGGACAUCACGUACACAGAGGGAGUUUGACCAGCUUCCAAGGAGGAAAAUGAGCCAAAGCCUUCACUGCCUACUUGAUCACAGUAACCAAAGGGUUUUCGAAAUGUCACUGUCCUCAGAGACGUUCCCGCCUCCUUAAGUGAACCCUGCACGCUCUUUACACUGUGUGGGUCUCACUGCUUUGAUGGCCCCGGAAACCACAGCCAGGGACAUUUCUCCAGAAGACACCAGUCAAAAGUCUGACUCACUCAUUUGUCUGGUUCCAUUGAAAUACCUACCGCCGUUUCCUACACAAAUGUUUUUCCUUUUGGAGGAAGAAAGAGAUGGCCGCUGCCAAGAGUUCCACAUGAGGAAAAGAUGCCUAAAUCUAUCUUGAAGUCUCAUCUGCUUCCUGGGAAAAGACAUUCACCUGCCCACCUGCAGGAUCCAGUCACCACCACGUACUGGUGACAUUGUCGUGUGUUUCAUUGCCUUCCAUCUGGAUUAGUCCUUGCAUCUCUUGUUGUAGUUAGGAUAUUAGUUUUGCCACGUCAGUGAGAUUAUGUUGUUGAAUGCCCUUCAACGUGUGUCUGUCUGAGUCCUCAUGACUCCGUUUAUUCGUUUGGGGCAAGAAAGCCACCUCAGUGACGCUGUGUGCUCUCCAGAACCUCACAUCAGGAAGCCUGCGUGACAGGCGUCCCUUUCCCCUGUUUUCAGUGACGUUAAACUCCGUCACUUGGUUCGGUGGGAUUUCCAUGAUGCUUUCUGCCAUACAGUUACAGAUUUUCCCUAUGCAAUUCAUAAGAAAUGUGUGGCAUUAAUAAGAAACCAGUGAGAUAGUUGGAGGCUAUGUUUCUGUCAUCUUUACCAUCAAACGCGUUUGGCAGCCAGUAGCCAUUGAUGGCGAAGGGAUGGCUGCAAAAUGGUGACUGUCUCACUCCAUGCCUUGAACACUUAUUAGCUGGCUGAAGAAGGUCAUCCCGUUGUGCUCCACUAUGUUUUUCACCACCCAGAAAAGCUCGCGGAUGACACUCGUGCAUAGUUUUGAAGUGAGCCCUUCCAACGGGCACCUGUGGCCUUCUGACACGUCCCCCGCCGCUCCCCAUAUUUCCGACGCCACAAGCAAGAAGCUUCACGCUCUACAUGUGUUGUUUGCGAGUUGUAAUGGCUUCCCCUCAACCCACUGAAGUAGCAUGGUAUUUAUAUGAGGCAGCCAGUCAAAAAAAGAAAAAGCAAAGGUAAAUGUCUCCCCUUGUAAUGGGUUUAGCUGAAAAGGUAAAUAUGGGAAUAACUACGUGGUAGAAGGAGCUGGAAGAUGAGGAAGUCACACUGCCCCGUGAAAAUGGAGAAAUGCCCCUCAACAAACGUGAAUUGCACAUCAAGACAAAGCGGUUUGCCAUCAGACAUCUUCCCGAGAACGAAGGCAGUACUUCCAACCACAUUCAGUAGGAGGGAUUUGCACAAGCCGUGAAGGGAGAACUCUUCCAGUUCCGUUUGAAUCUUAACUUUCAUUUCUGCACUGUUGGGGAAGAAUCUUUGGGGGCAUGCAUUAUCGGUCUCCUCACCUCCAAAGCGCAUCCAAGGGUGGAUCCCAGGAGGAAUGCUUGGAGCUCCUGCUGCGUAGUUUGCACUUCUGGUUCACGCUCAGAAAGCCGGUAUAAAUGCGCUACAGUGAAGGACUGACUCAUAAAGAGACCUUGCAAACCAGUUGUUUAAAACUCGUGAAUUCCAACAAAGCUGCUACUGUGCCCCUCUGCUAGAGUCCCGAACGCCCAGUGGGUACAAGCAUUUAACGCCCUUCAUGGAAACGAUCUUGUAUACGUCUCCAUGUCCAACCAGAUUCCCGGGGAAAGGGAGUCGGUGUCUUUGUGCCCCAGGCACAGAAUACAAAGCCUGGCACCGACAAGAUGUUCAGACGUCAUAAAACCAUCACUCACCAUGACAACAAAAGUACACACGAUGCCCAGCCUCUCGCCAGAGCAACAGGAGUGGUGUUUUGAACUCACAGUCUAGAUGUUUUCCAGUAGUAGCAUUGAUAUAGUGAGAGCCAUGGCACCUGACAGAAAGGUCUCCUGUUGACAAGUGUGGGAAUAGGUUUUCCCAGCUUUAAAACCAGAACAUCACUCCAUUUACCGCAAACAGUGAGAUGCAUGAAAAUAAGGAACCUACAGUGUCUCCGUCAAGAGGCCACAUGCUGAAGAGGUAAUUCAGAUGGGAUUGUCUGCAUAGGUUUCACUGGAAGAAAAGGGACCCAAAUAUCACGAGAAUCAUGGAGAAUAGAGUUACAGGCAGAUCUGAUCAACCUCUCUUUGUUGCUCGCCCAGCCUCAGAAAUUACUGGUUUUCACUGCUUUUGCCUCCUGCUCUCUCUGCUGCAUUUGCUCUUGUCUCCAACACAGCGGCUGUCCUUUGGCCCAAGGUUUCCGAAAUGUGGGUCAGGGACUUUUGUGUAAGAAAUCACCUGUGUUGGCUCAGGAGGGCACAGUGGGUAAUGGAGCUCCCUUCACAGUGGGGUGGGGUUGUGUGCGAGCACCCGGGUUUGGGCCAGACAGUUAUCUUGUUGGAACUGUUACGCUUUUAGCCAAAGGGCUCUCGUGCAAGAUGGGGUCAAACUAUGUGGGCAAGCCAUGGUUAAGGCAUCUGUUAGGGAGCAAUUGUCACAGUAAUGCUAAGAAGAAAAAGUCAUCCCCACACCCAGCCCACAACAACAAACAUUUGAAAGGUCACGCACGGUCAUACAGGUGAGCUGGGCCCAGCCUGGCCAAGUCCUGUCACCAAGCCCAGUGUCUGCAGAG